rnacentral:rRNA from 1 species
UGAACGCUGGCGGCGUGCCUAAUACAUGCAAGUCGAGCGAUGAGGCUCCUUCGGGAGUACAUCAGCGGCGAACGGGUGAGUAACACGUGGGUGACUUGCCCCGAAGAUGGGGAUAACCUCUGGAAACGGGGGCUAAUACCCAAUGUGCUCGGUGAUUCGGUUCAUCGAGUAAAGCUCCGGCGCUUCGGGAGAGGCCUGCGGCCCAUCAGCUAGUUGGUAGGGUAACGGCCUACCAAGGCAGAGACGGGUAGGGGGCGUGAGAGCGCGGACCCCCACACUGGCACUGAGAUACGGGCCAGACUCCUACGGGAGGCAGCAGUAAGGGAUAUUGCGCAAUGGACGAAAGUCAGACGCAGCGACGCCGCGUGGGCGAUGAAGGCCUUCGGGUUGUAAAGCCCUUUUAUGGGGGAAGAGAAAAAGGACGGUACCCCAGGAAUAAGUCCCGGCUAACUACGUGCCAGCAGCCGCGGUAAAACGUAGGGGACAAGCGUUAUCCGGAUUCACUGGGCGUAAAGAGCGUUGAGGCGGUUCCGUAAGUUGGGCGUGAAAGCUCCGGGCUUAACUCGGAGAUGUCGUUCAAUACUGCGGGGCUUGAGGACAGCAGAGGAAGGUGGAAUUCCCGGUGUAGUGGUGAAAUGCGUAGAUAUCGGGAGGAACACCCGUGGCGAAGGCGGCCUUCUGGGCUGUUCCUGACGCUGAAGGCGAAAGCUAGGGGAGCGAACGGGAUUAGAUACCCCGGUAGUCCUAGCUGUAAACGAUGGAUGCUGGGUGUGGGGGGUGUUAAUUCCCUCUGUGCCGAAGCAAACGCGUUAAGCAUCCCGCCUGGGGACUACGGCCGCAAGGCUAAAACUCAAACGAAUUGACGGGGGCCCGCACAAGCAGCGGAGC